rnacentral:lncRNA from 1 species
GUGGUUUGACAAGUCGCUGACGUUGGUCGUGUUCCCCUCGGGGCGCGUCGGGCUCAACGUGGAGCACUCGUGGGGAGACCCCCCCGUGGCCUGGCACCUCUGGGAGUUCGCGCUGGCCCUGGACCGGUCCUUGGGCUACGACGAGAGCGGGAAUUGUCCCGGGGACGGGCAGGGCAGGGACCCCGAGCCCCCCAUGGAGCUGCACUGGGAGCUGCCCCCGCAGGUUUCGGGGAUGCUGCCCCAGGCCCGGGAGCAGUUCCAGGCCAUGGCUGAGGGGCUCCAGCUCCACGUGGUGUCGGUCGAGGAACCCCUGGGACCCUCCGGGACCCCCGAGAGUCCCCAGGAGCUGCUGCCGCUGGCGCUGGAGCUGGCGCUGGUCAGGGAGCGCGGCCCCGCCCUGACGUACGAGCCGAUCCCGACGCGCCUUUUCCUCGAGGGCCGCGCCGACGGCGCCCGCGGCGUGGGGAGACCCCUGCUCGAGCUGGAACGCGCCCUCAGGGACCCCCAAACCCCCGUGAGGAACCCCAAAAUGGGGCUGGGGACCCCAAAAAUGGGAUGGGGAAACCCAAAAUGGGGAUGGGGAAACCAAAAUGGGGCUGGGGACCCCAAAAUGGGGCUGGGGAAACCAAAAUGGGGCUGGGGACCCCAAAAUGGGGAUGGGGAAACCAAAAUGGGGAUGGGGAAACCAAAAUGGGGAUGGGCACCCCAAAAUGGGGAUGGGGACCCCAAAAUGGGGAUGGAGACCCCAAAAUGGAGAUGGGGACCCCAAAACGGGGAUGGUGAAACCAAAAUGGUGUUGGGGAAACCAAAAUGGGGAUGGGGACAACCAAAAUGGGGCUGGGGACCCCAAAAUGGGGAUGGGGAAACCAAAAUGGGGAUUGGGAACCCAAAAUGGGGAUGGGGAACCCAAAAUGGGGCUGGGGAAACCAAAAUGGGGCUGGGGAAACCAAAAUGGGGCUGGGGACCCCCAAAGUGGGGCUGGAGACCCCAAAAUGGGGAUGGGGAAACCAAAAUGGGAAUGGGGAAACCAAAAUGGGGCUGGAGACCCCCAAAUGGGGAUGGGCACCCCAAAAUGGAGAUGGGGAAACCAAAAUGGGGCUGGGGACCCCCAAAUGGGGAUGGGGACCCCAAAAUGGAGAUGGGGAAACCAAAAUGGGAAUGGGGACAACCAAAAUGGGGCUGGAGACCCCAAAAUGGGGAUGGGAACCCCAAAAUGGGUCUGGGGAAACCAAAAUGGGGCUGGGGACCCCAAAAUGGGGCUGGGGAAACCAAAAUGGGGCUGGGGACCCCAAAAUGGGGAUGGGGAAACCAAAAUGAGGAUGGGCACCCCAAAAUGGGGCUGGGGACCCCCAAAUGGGGAUGGGGACCCCCAAAAUGGGGAUGGGCACCCCAAAAUGGGGUGAUCAUUUGGGCUCUAUGGGGGGAUUUUGGG